rnacentral:rRNA from 1 species
GUACACUCCUACGGGAGGCAGCAGUGGGGAAUUUUGGACAAUGGGCGCAAGCCUGAUCCAGCCAUGCCGCGUGCGGGAAGAAGGCCUUCGGGUUGUAAACCGCUUUUGUCAGGGAAGAAAAGGUUCUGGCUAAUACCUGGGACUCAUGACGGUACCUGAAGAAUAAGCACCGGCUAACUACGUGCCAGCAGCCGCGGUAAUACGUAGGGUGCAAGCGUUAAUCGGAAUUACUGGGCGUAAAGCGUGCGCAGGCGGUUAUGCAAGACAGAGGUGAAAUCCCCGGGCUCAACCUGGGAACUGCCUUUGUGACUGCAUGGCUAGAGUACGGUAGAGGGGGAUGGAAUUCCGCGUGUAGCAGUGAAAUGCGUAGAUAUGCGGAGGAACACCGAUGGCGAAGGCAAUCCCCUGGACCUGUACUGACGCUCAUGCACGAAAGCGUGGGGAGCAAACAGGAUUAGAAACCCCUGUAGUCCCAUGA